CACACAUAACACUCACCCCACAUACAGCUCUCAGUCUCCUCUACUACACACACUCUCACACCCAUCACUUAGCCACCAUACACGUGAUGCACCCUUCCACAUAGUAUGCAAAUCUCGUUUUGAAGAGGUUAAGCAUAUUUAGGGAUUAAAUAUAUACUGUAUUACUAUACCUGCCUGAAUUUGAGACCUGUUUUUAUUUGCAAGCUUUGAUACAUUAAAAAUUGAAAAAGCCAUCCCCUGUGCAAUGCAAUUUUGAACUUGUUAGUAAUACUGCCCAGGCAAAUAUUUCAUGAGUGAGGCACGAAAUAUUGGAUAUGCCACAAUAAACUAUAUUUUUCUUCCUCUAGAAAGAC